UACGGGGGGGGCAAGCGUUGUUCGGAAUUACUGGGCGUAAAGGGCUCGUAGGCGGCCAACUAAGUCAGACGUGAAAUCCCUCGGCUUAACCGGGGAACUGCGUCUGAUACUGGAUGGCUUGAGUUCGGGAGAGGGAUGCGGAAUUCCAGGUGUAGCGGUGAAAUGCGUAGAUAUCUGGAGGAAUACCGGUGGCGAAGGCGGCAUCCUGGACCGACAUUGACGCUGAGGAGCGAAAGCUAGGGGAGCAAACGGG
rnacentral:rRNA from 1 species